rnacentral:rRNA from 1 species
GACGAACGCUGGCGGCGUGCUUAACACAUGCAAGUCGAACGGAAAGGCCCUGCUUUUGUGGGGUGCUCGAGUGGCGAACGGGUGAGUAACACGUGAGUAACCUGCCCUUGACUUUGGGAUAACUUCAGGAAACUGGGGCUAAUACCGGAUAGGAGCUCCUGCUGCAUGGUGGGGGUUGGAAAGUUUCGGCGGUUGGGGAUGGACUCGCGGCUUAUCGGCUUUUUGGGGGGGUAGUGGCUUACCAAGGCUUUGACGGGUAGCCGGCCUGUGAGGGUGACCGGCAAAAUGGGGAUGGAGAGAGGGCCAAGAAUCCAAGGGGAGGAAGAAGUGGGAAAAAUGGCAAAAUGGGCGGAAGCCUGAGGAAGAAAGGCGGGGGGGGGAAUGAGGGCUUUGGGGUGGAAAACGGAUUUGGCAGGGGAGGAAGAGUGAGUGACGGUAAUGGGAAAAGAAGAACCGGCUAACUACGUG